UACGGAGGAUCCAAGCGUUAUCCGGAAUCAUUGGGUUUAAAGGGUCCGUAGGCGGGCCUGUAAGUCAGUGGUGAAAUCUCCCCGCUCAACGGGGAAACGGGCCAUUGAUACUGCAGGCCUUGAAUUACUGUGAAGUAACUAGAAUAUGUAGUGUAGCGGUGAAAUGCUUAGAUAUUACAUGGAAUACCGAUUGCGAAGGCAGGUUACUAACAGUGGAUUGACGCUGAUGGACGAAAGCGUGGGUAGCGAACAGGAUUAGAUACCCGAGUAGU
rnacentral:rRNA from 1 species